rnacentral:rRNA from 1 species
AACGAACGCUGGCGGCGUGGCUAAGGCAUGCAAGUCGAACGGUCAUAUUUUGAGGGUAACUGAAGAGUAUGAUAGUGGCGAACGGGUGAGGAAUACUUGGAUAACGUACCCUAGACACAGGGAUAGCGGCGGGGAAACCCGUUUACGUCGAAAGUGCCGGUAAUACCUGAUGACCCCGUACGGAUCGCAUGAUCCCGCCGGGCGAAAGACUCCGACGGUCGUGGGAGUCGGUUCAAGACCUAUCAGCUAGUUGGUGGAGGU